GGUUAUUUAUUUAUUUAUUCAAUUGAAUUAAAGUGAAAGAAAAACCCUAGUAGAAUUGAAAUUGAGAAGAGAAGAGAAGAGAGAUUUGGACGAUGGCACACUUCUUCACUUUCGAUAUGCUGUUUGAAAGAUAUGGCAGGGAGGACGGGGUGGUUACGGAGGAGGAUCGUGAAGAGCUAAAGAAAACCAACCAGAGAAUCUUACGCUAAGGUAAUGCACGAGGAGGAUAUCAGGUCCGGUGAAAUUAUACCCGAUACCGAUGAUGAUGAACAAGAUUUCGAAGAAAUAAAAGAUCCUCGACAGGCGCAGGACGCUGCUGCUACUGCUGAUGCAGUAAACAAGGUUUUGGAAGAAUUUAUUCAGUCAUCUGCAUCAAAGAAGAUUUGUGUUGUAAGCAACUUGUUGAUAAUGGCUUCACCAGUUCCCUUGCAAGCUCCACCACACGAUAAAAAGAUUUGUUAUGCGCACAUAUGAUGAUGAAAAGUCUCUGAAGAACGUUUCUGAGCAGGGAGAUGCUGGAGGUGUUGAUCUAGGUAGCCAAGCUGAAGCUGGAGGUGUAAUCAUGGAUAUUGUUGAAGGAGUUUGUUCGACCAAAGAUGACAUCAAUGCUAAUGACUCGGUGGAUACUCCCACAAGCAAGACUUUGGGAAAAAGGCCUAAUGAGAGUGGUGACUAUGCCUGAUGGGGGUGCUUUGUCUGCAACAAAUAAAAUUCAGAAGCUUGCCCGUAUGGAAAAAUUGUAUUAAUGUGUUUAUGUUUGUCCUGUUUUAAUGUGUUUACUGUUGUCUCUGUUGUCCUAUUUUACUAUGUUUAUGUCGUAUUGAACUGAGUUUUACUAUGCUUUAUUGCGAUGUGAAACAUUAUUUUUUGUGACCA